GUGGGGAAUCUUAGACAAUGGGGGAAACCCUGAUCUAGCCAUGCCGCGUGAGCGAUGAAGGCCUUAGGGUUGUAAAGCUCUUUCAGCUGGGAAGAUAAUGACGGUACCAGCAGAAGAAGCCCCGGCUAACUCCGUGCCAGCAGCCGCGGUAAUACGGAGGGGGCUAGCGUUGUUCGGAAUUACUGGGCGUAAAGCGCGCGUAGGCGGACCAGAAAGUUGGAGGUGAAAUCCCGGGGCUCAACCCCGGAACUGCCUUUGAAACUCCCAGUCUUGAGUUCGAGAGAGGUGAGUGGAAUUCCGAGUGUAGAGGUGAAAUUCGUAGAUAUUCGGAGGAACACCAGUGGCGAAGGCGGCUCACUGGCUCGAUACUGACGCUGAGGUGCGAAAGCGUGGGGAGCAAACAGGAUUAGAAACCCGGGUAGUCC
rnacentral:rRNA from 1 species